AUUGAACGCUGGCGGCAGGCCUAACACAUGCAAGUCGAACGAGUGGCGGACGGGUGAGUAAUGUCUGGGAAACUGCCUGAUGGAGGGGGAUAACACUUGGAAACAGGAGCUAAUACCGCAUACUGAUGGAUGGACCCGCGGUGCAUUAGCUAGUUGGUGCGGUAACGGCCCACGAAGCCUACGUUGCAUAGCCGACCUGAGAGGAUGACCAGCCACACUGGAACUGAGACACGGCACAGACUCCUACGGGAGGCAGCAGUGGGGAAUAUUGCACAAUGGGCGCAAGCCUGAUGCAGCCAUGCCGCGUGUAUGAAGAAGGCCUUCGGGUUGUAAAGUACUUUCAGCGGGGAGGCGUUACCCGCAGAAGAAGCACCGGCUAACUCCGUGCCAGCAGCCGCGGUAAUUC
rnacentral:rRNA from 1 species